UAAGGAUUAAGAAACAAAACAAUGAGGGAUUAGCGUGAAUGGGGCUGUAGCAAAACAAUGAGGAUUAAGAAAGAAGAUUUCCCUCGAAUUGUGAGUUUUUCUUCUUCCUUGCUGAGACUUCUUGCGCCUUCCCUACUGUUAUGCUUCUUCUUUUCUUUUUCUGCCCAUCCUCGUCGAACCAGAACUGAAAUUUUGUUAUGCGGUUGGGGGGUUCUGGUGUCGAUUCUGAUGGAAGUUGGAGGGUGAAGGUGACGUAGGAUGUAGGUUAGAAGGGUGACGACGAGUGAGUGUGGUUGAGGUAUUUAUCCCUGGUUCUGUUGAGUGUCCUCGAUAGUGAAGCAGUUAGGGUGCCUCUUUUAUAGUUGGGUUGAAGUGGAUUUUGGUUGAAGAGUUGGUGUUCUGUUGAUGGUGAUGAGAUGGAAAUGAGACUGGUUGAGGGUGAAGUGAGAGGAUAAUGAAAUGGGAGUGAAGAAGAUUGAUAGUGGAUGGAGAAGAUGGAAGGAAGUGAAAACGAGAAUCCGAUUGAAGAAGAUGGGGUGAGUAUUGGUAUUAUGUGGAUUGAAGGUUGAAAAAGAUGAAGUGAGUAAAGAUAGAAGGUGAAGAGAAGAUGGAAGAAAAACGAGCGAGCUUUCUGAACUGUGAAGGUUUGGUUCAGUUUUUUAGAGGUUAUUGUGGUGUGCCGGAUGCGGUUCUUUAAGGGUAAAGAAGAGGGUUCGAUUAUGCCUUUUGAUGGAUGAUGAAGAGUUAGUUUCCAGGAGGUUUUGCAACUGAUUUUAUGUUAAAAAGUUUUGGAGGGUUUAUUGCAAUUUGGUUGGAAGGUUGUUUCUCUAUUUUUGGAACGUUCUGUCAUGGCGGUUAUGAGAGGUUGGAUGAAGUUCGUUAUACCGGCCGGUGAAAACUUGAAGGUUAAUUAGAGCUUACACUAUUUAUUGUAGGGUAGAAAUGGUUAUAAUAUGUUUUCAAAUGUGAUGAUGAUGCUUGUUAGCUUGACUUAGGAUUAGGGUGAGAUUAUGUUUUGGGAAUGUAUUGAUAUGGAUUGAUGAUGUAUGGUAUAUGGUUUUGGAUUAAUUGGAGAACUGGAUAGUAAUGGAUUUUGUGGAGAAGUGGAUUAUGGUUAUGGAUACUGGAAUUGUUU